rnacentral:rRNA from 1 species
UACGGAGGGGGCAAGCGUUAUUCGGAAUUAUUGGGCGUAAAGAGCGCGUAGGCGGCUCGUUAAGUGAGAAGUGAAAGCUGUGGGCUCAACCCACAAACCGCUUUUCAUACUGGCGAGCUGGAGUGAUGCAGAGGUGGAUAGAAUUCCCGGUGUAGCGGUGAAAUGCGUUGAUAUCGGGAGGAAUACCCGUGGCGAAGGCGGUCCACUGGGCAUCAACUGACGCUGAGGCGCGAAAGCGUGGGUAGCAAACAGG